AAAAUGAAAAAAGAAAAAAAAAAGGAGCUUUGUAAGAUUGGAUGAAACAGAUUUCUCUAUGAAAAUCUAGGAGGAACAAGAGAUGAAAAGCUGCAAGAUUGCAAGAAAUGGUGGCGUAGGAAAAAGUUUAUGAAUAAGAUCUUGGAAGUAAUUCGGGGAGUAUAGAAUUCCAUCUGGGAGUGAGAGGAGGAACACCAUUGGAAUAAAAUUUUAGCAAAGUCAACGAGACUGCUCCUGAUCAAGUGAUCACAGCCGUCGGUAGGAUGGACGGUCUGGAUGCUAUUUGACUUUGCUUUUAUAUUUUUUUUUGUUAACAUUGAAACUGAAGUGUGGACAUGGAACUAAACUUUUCUGCAGUUUCAAGUA